UCCACAAGCCUUUCAACCUUAUUCUUGUUUUACCCCAUCCUGUGUGAGAAGGGCAAGAGUGAAUGGCUGUGCCAGUGUUUGGAAGUUGGCCAGGAUCAGUCAUCUCCAAGGCUCUGAGUGGAUGGCUAAGCUGCAGAGAAAUUGGAAAUAUAUAAUUUUGGAGCCUGAAAAUUUGGAAAUAUGUGAUUUUGGAGCCUCUCCUUUCUUUAUCUCCCAAGAAACAGUUUUACUUUUCUAGCUGGUCCAUCAUCAUGUGCUUAAUUUGACAUUCACUAUCUUUUAAAUACAUCACUUUG